AGGAGAUCUGUCAACUUCAGAGAUGGCAAGUAGAUGCCCAUGACUUCCAGGAGAGUGUUUUUCAGUCUCUGUAAAUGGCUUAAGGAAAUGCUCAACUUCCAAGUGCC